rnacentral:rRNA from 1 species
UACAGAGGUCUCAAGCGUUGUUCGGAUUCAUUGGGCGUAAAGGGUGUGUAGGUGGCGCGCUAAGUCGGGUGUGAAAUUUCGGAGCUUAACUCCGAAACUGCAUUCGAUACUACCUUGCUAGAGUACCGGAGAGGAAACUGGAAUUUACGGUGUAGCAGUGAAAUGCGUAGAGAUCGUAAGGAAGACCAGUGGCGAAGGCGAGUUUCUGGACGGUAACUGACGCUGAGGCACGAAGGCCAGGGGAGCAAACGGG